CGUCCUCCUGAAGAAGCAGGGUGUUGGAGAGGGAUGAAAGAGGAGGUGGCAUCGAAGUGGGAAAAACAGAAGAAUGAGGAGAUAAUGGAAGACGAUCAGAAGGGGAGAAGAAAGGGAGGAAAACAGUUAGUUACCUCACUCGCUCUCAUUCCUAACCUUCUCGAAUGUGAAAGGGCAUCGUUUGAUUGAACACAUGGUGGAGGAGGAGGAGGUGGAACAGCUGCAAUGCAAUCCUGACCCCAAGUCCUCCAGCAGUCUGGGUGACCAAAGGGGAGAAAAACAAAGGAGCUGCAUCUUUAGAGGCAGGAAGACUCUUAAAAACAAAACAAAACAAACAAAAAAAAAUCAAAAAAAAAAUCAAAAAAAAAAAAAUCAGUCCCUGGCCAUCAUCCAUCUCUUCCCUACACCAUCCAUCUCCUCGCUUCCCUUCUCUCUCGCCCUGGUCUUGUCUCCAUGGCAACCCCCUUCGAGCUAGCCGCCCUUGGGUAAGUGCGUGCGUGUGUGUCUGGUGUAUGCGUUAGCGAGCGUGUGUGGGCAGGGAAGCUUGUUCAAGGCGCAAAACUAAGGGCCUCUUUUGUCCCUGCUCUCCCCCCCGGUCAACUUGUCACAGGCGCUGCAGGGGAGCUCAGGGCGUGCGUGUGUGUGUGUGUGUGUGUGUGUGGUGGGGGGAAGACACAUGAGGAGAGAUGAGACAGAAACGCAGGGAGAGAGUAUUGCAGAACAAGAACGCUUUGACACUUGUGAGGGGGAAAUACAAAAUUAAUGAGAGCCUUCUCUUGACCCGCUCUUGUCGACCAUAUGCUCAGAACAAACCUGGUUCAGUGUUUUAGGAACAGACUAAAUUAUUUGCAUUUUAUUUACUGUAAAUAAUUAUAAUCAGGUAAGCAGCUGGGUAUAUAUAUGAGCUUAAUUCUAGUGCUGAUACAAAACAGAAAGAUUUUCCUGCCUGCUUUGAGGAAAAGUUUUCUACAUUUUAUUCCCCCAUUUAACAGUAUGUGCCCACAUUAAAAAAAUCAGUAACUCUUGUCUUGACAUUAAGCAACUUGACAGGAACUUUGCCUGUGUAGAAUAGUGUCUAUUAUUCAGAAAAAAAGGAUAGGUAAGUGUGUGGUGUCAAAAGGGGUUUUUCAGCCCAGAUUUUUACCCUGACUCAUUUUAGGUAAAGUUAAUGAGUCAAAAUAAAUAAUUUGGAAAGAUGUCUAACAGCUGGAGAAAACCUUUUCAGUUGUCUACAAAGCUCUGCUGUUAGAGUGGUUACUGUGGACCAGGACGUUUUUUUGUGUGUGUCACCGUUCUGAGAAUUUAUUUUGUUCAUCUUUUUCUGAAAGCGCACUCACGGCACAACUACUUUCUUUAAUUAGCCGACCAGGCAUAAUAAAGAGGUGUCAGUAUGUCCUGAGUACAGGCAACUGGGACUUCACAACAUCCAUAAUAAAACUGGAUUAAAUAGUGCUAAAAAUGUGCUACCUCUGCUGGGGGGCAACUGUCGCAGAUGUCAUGGAGGUAACUUGCGCUUUUUCGCCUGCUUUGUUAUAAUCACAUAUUUCAGGCAAGCGAGGGAAUGGGGGAAGGAUAGUGAGAAUGCACCUCGAUCCUACUGGUUUUUGAUGAUGUUGUUAUUCAAUAGAAAAUAGAUAGAAGCUGCACUGCAAAGCAGCUGAAUGAUCUCAUCCCAGCGACAGGAUUUUUUUUUUGCUGAGAAAAGGAAGACUUUCUGUUGAGGGCAUCAGGUGGCAGAUUUGCCACACAAAGGCAACAGCCUCUCCUGUGCGCAGCAGCAAAGGUGCAAUACGAGUGGGGCACCGUGCUGUCAGUGUGAGUGACACACCGAAAGCUUCAGGUAAAGCAGAUGGAACACACAGGAAAGGAAAACCAAGAGGAAAACAGAACAAACGGGAAAAGGUUCAGACAGAUGCAGAGUGACAGAGAGAGCAUGACAGGAAGAGGUGCAAGGUGUGUCAGCUUCCAACACGGGGCACAGCUUUGAGUGUGUGCAUUUGUGCGUGCGCUGAGAAAAGAAAGACUUUCUGUUCAGAGCAUCAGGUGGCAGGUUUGGUGGUGUGUGUGUGUGUGCGUGUGCGUGUGUGUGCAUGCAUGUGUCUGGGAAGUGUAGGUGAUGCCUCUGUUCCCUGGGCUGGACUAACAGAUGGGCCACUUCAUCCUUCAGGAGACCAUGACUCAUCAGACAGAAAAGUCAACUUUCAGAAGCUGGCAGAAAAUGAGACUGAGGAAGCAGAUAUCGCAAAACUUAAUUUUGAAGCUUUCAGCUGCGACACAUAUCUCCAACUCUGCACGCGCGCUCGUUCCGUGCACUUACGUCCUG